CGCAGCAAGCAGGACGUCAAGCCAGCGUUACGUGGGAAGAGUUUGCUGACCAUGGCCACAGAGGACAGCUUUGGGUGCCUGCUACGCUGGGCUGCUUCCAGGGCUCCAAUCAAAGCCCAAGAGGUAUUGCGCUGCAGAGUAAGACCCAACAAACCACUCAGGGGCAAUCUCCUUUUUCUGAGAAAUCUGACCUACAGCAACAUGGAACUCUGGAAUGAAAAGACUGAUGGGAUGAACUAGAUUAUCCAGCAAAAACAAGUUGGCCACCCAUUCCUUUCUCUUCAUUGAUUUGACUGGUUAUUGUUCUGGGACCUCAAGGACACAUUCUGGGGAUACACUCCUUGUGAAGAUAUUGUCACAAAUUACCAAAGAUACCUGAGAAUUCCCACUGAAGUUCAUAUGAGCUCUGCUAGAACAAGGACCCUCGGACACAGUUCACAGCUCUCGUCUAUUGGAAAUAUGUGAAUGGAGAAAGAACACCAAGGAGUAACUCCCGGAGAUAGAAGUGUACCAUGACUGUGCCGCGCAAACAAGGACAUAUCAUCACCCUGUUUAUAGACACCAGGACUGGCUACAUUACUGGGGACCUGGUGUAAAAUGAAAAUGAAGAGCUCACAUUUAUUAAGAAUUUCAAGAUGGUGAAACAGAGUGGCAACCAAGGAUUGGCCCCUGUGUUGGAUUUCAGGAUCACACAGGUCACACAUCUAUGAUCCUCACUCGGAUUAGUGCCAUUGUCCAAAUAUUUGCUUUCCAGGACUUUUCUCUCCUCACUAAGUAAAUGCAAACACAUUUUCAUCUUGUAUUAUUAACUUUUUAGUUUCAAAGGAACCAAUGAUAAUUUUACAUCUUUAGAGAAAAUGGUGCAUAAAGUAAAUUUAGUGGUUUCAUGCUUUUCAUUCGCAAUUCCUAUUAUUCUGACAUAGGUUAGACUGGAGGGUUAAAGAAUGAUGAAUUAUAGGAAGCUUUCAUUGAAGGAAUUGUCCUGAAGUAGUCAAGUGACAAGUGGCUGUCAGGUGUUACUGCCUGCAAGGAGCUUAGAAAGCCACAAAAAUCAGAGGUCACUUGGUAUUUGAAACUGCCACCAAGAGUUGCGAGACAUGGGUCCAUUAAUUAAGGAGAAUCACUUUCUCUUUUUCUCUCCUGAAAGGAACCUGUAUUUAUAAAUAAGCUGUAAAAUAAAGAAGUGCAAAGUCUGAGGAAAACAGUGGUAUUCUGAUGACUAUGAAUCACACCUCUUGAAUUCAUACUGAUUUUCUUGCCAGAUUAUUUUUCACACACAGUGUUGUGUGAAGGGAGGGCUUACUCACAACAGAUCAGAUAUGUUCAGGGUGAUGUGGCCAAAGACAGAGAAGUCUUCUAGCAGAGGUCCACACAGCUCUGCCCUCUGGAAGUUUGUCUACUAGAGAGGUUCACUGACAUCCAAGAUUUCAGUUAUGUAGUAUUUCAAGUCUGGAAUUCCCCACAGAAGGUUAAUUUCCUUAAAGUCCAUGUUCUAGAAUUGGAGAUUUUGGUUUAAUAUAUUCUUGAAGAGAAAGAAA